rnacentral:rRNA from 1 species
AUGGCGAACACCGUGAUCCUGUACCCCGGCCUCACCGUGAGCCACUUCGUCCCCAUGGUGCACCUCGCCGGCGCCCUCGCCGACCACGGCUACGCCGUCUCCGUCGCGCUCAUCGACCCCGCCGUCAACGGGGACCCCGCCUUCCGCGCCGUCGUCGCCCGCGCGGUCGCGCCGCUCAUCCGAUUCCACGCGCUCCCGCCCUCCGAGGACGCGCCCACGCUGAGCCCCGACGCGCCGUUCAUCCCCAGGUACCUCGACAUCGUCGGCCGCCACAACGACCGCCUCCGCGACUUCCUCCGCUCCUUUGCACGCGGCGUCCACGCCGUGGUCGUCGACUCGCUGUCCGUCGGGGCGCUCGGCGUCGCCAAGCGGCUCGGGAUCCCCGGGUACGUCAUGUUCACCUCCGGCGCGGCCGCGCUCGCCGCCUUCGUCCAGCUUCCUUCCGUCCUCGCUGAGGUGCGGACGAGGUUCCAGGAGCUAGGCGACGCGCCGCUCGAGUUAUUCGGCCUUCCGCCCAUGCCUGCCUCCCACCUGCUCGGCGAAUUGCUCGAGGACCCUGAGAGCGACACCUACAAGGCGACGGUGAUCGCGCUGUACGGGAUCCCGGAGGGCGAUGGCAUCCUGGUGAACACGUUCGAGUCGCUGGAUGCUGGGGUGGUGGCGGCGCUCGGCGACCCUCGGUGUCUCCCGGGCCGGAUCAUGCCGCCGGUGUACUGCGUCGGGCCAUUCGUUGGGGGCGUCGGAAUCGAGGCGAAAGACCGGCAUGAGUGCCUCACGUGGCUAGACGGGCAGCCGGACGGCAGCGUCGUGUUCCUCUGCUUCGGCAGCGGGGGAAGCCACUCGGCGGAGCAGCUCAAGGAGAUCGCCGUCGGCCUGGAGAACUGCGGCCACCGGUUCCUGUGGGUCGUGGGAAACCCUUUCAACGACGACCAGGCCAAGCAGUUCGACCAGGACCUCGACGCUCUCUUGCCGAACCGGUUCCUGGCCCGCACCAGAGGCCGUGGCCUCGUUGUUAAGCAGUGGGUGCCGCAAGCAGAGGUGCUCCGCCACAGGGCCACCGGCGCGUUCGUGACGCACUGCGGGUGGAACUCUGUGCUGGAGGGCCUGACGGCCGGCGUGCCGAUGCUGUGCUGGCCGCUGUACGCGGAGCAGAAGAUGAACAUGCUGCGCAUGGUGGGGGAGAUUGGAGUCGCCGCGGAGAUGGUCGGGUGGCAGCGGGGGCUGGUCGAGGCAGCCGAGGUGGAGGGCAAGGUGAGGCUGGUCAUGGACUCCGAGGCUGGCAUGGAGCUCCGGGCGCGGGCGGCGGCACACAAGGAAGGCGCGGCCGCGGCCUGGAGCGACGGCGGCUCGUCGCGCGCGGCGAUUGCCAGGUUCUUGGCCGACGUCGACAGCCGGCAGCCUCAGACUCGCGGUGAUCGGUGA